UACGUAGGGUGCAAGCGUUAAUCGGAAUUACUGGGCGUAAAGGGCGCGUAGGCGGCCAUUCAAGUCAGGCGUGAAAGCCCCGGGCUCAACCUGGGAGGUGCGCUUGGGACUGGGUGGCUGGAGUUCGGGAGAGGAGAGUGGAAUUCCCAGUGUAGAGGUGAAAUUCGUAGAUAUUGGGAAGAACACCGGUGGCGAAGGCGGCUCUCUGGACCGAGACUGACGCUGAGGCGCGAAAGCGUGGGGAGCAAACAGG
rnacentral:rRNA from 1 species